GACGAACGCUGGCGGCGUGCUUAACACAUGCCAGUCGAACGAAGUGGCGAACGGGUGAGUAACGCGUAAUCAACCUGCCCUUCAGAGGGGGAAAACAGUUGGAAACGACUGCUAAUACAGCCUAAUGAAGGAGGGGAUUGCGGCUGAUUAGCUAGUUGGAGGGGGAACGGCCCACCAAGGCUAUGACCAGUAGCCGGGCUGAGUGGAUGAACGGCCACAUUGGGACUGAUACACGUCCCAGACUCCUACGGGAGGCAGCAGUGGGGAAUCGUCCGCAAUUGACGAAAGUCUGACGGAGCAACGCCGCGUGAGUGAUGACGGCCUUCGGGUUGGAAAGCUCUGUUAAUCGGGACGCGGUACCGGAAUAGAAAGCCACGGCUAACUACGUGCCAGCAGCCGCGGUAAUAC
rnacentral:rRNA from 1 species